GCAUAUCAAUAAGCGGAGGAAAAGAAACUAACAAGGAUUCCCCUAGUAACGGCGAGUGAAGCGGGAAGAAGCUCAAAUUUGAAAUCCUGGUAGCCUUCGGUUGCCCGAGUUGUAAUCUAGAGAAGUCGUUUUCCGUGCCGGCCCAUGUACAAGUCCCUUGGAACAGGGCGUCAUAGAGGGUGAGAAUCCCGUCCUUGACAUGGACCCCCGGUGCUUUGUGAUACACUUUCAACGAGUCGAGUUGUUUGGGAAUGCAGCUCAAAAUGGGUGGUGAAUUCCAUCUAAAGCUAAAUAUUGGCGAGAGACCGAUAGCGAACAAGUACCGUGAGGGAAAGAUGAAAAGCACUUUGGAAAGAGAGUUAAACAGUACGUGAAAUUGUUGAAAGGGAAACGAUUGAAGUCAGUCAUGCUCUUAGGAUUCAGCCGUUCUGCGGUGUAUUUCCUUUGAGUGGGGUCAACAUCAGUUUUGAUCGAUGGAUAAAGGCACGAGGAAGGUAGCACUCUCGGGUGAACUUAUAGCCUCGCGUCAUAUACAUUGAUUGGGACUGAGGAACGCAGCAUGCCUUUAUGGCCGGGAUUCGUCCACGUACAUGCUUAGGAUGUUGACAUAAUGGCUUUAAACGACCCGUCUUGAAACACGGACC
rnacentral:rRNA from 1 species